rnacentral:rRNA from 1 species
AUUGAACGCUGGCGGCAGGCUUAACACAUGCAAGUCGAGCGGAGAGAGGUAGCUUGCUACUGAUCUUAGCGGCGGACGGGUGAGUAAUGCUUAGGAAUCUGCCUAUUAGUGGGGGACAACAUUUCGAAAGGAAUGCUAAUACCGCAUACGUCCUACGGGAGAAAGCAGGGGAUCUUCGGACCUUGCGCUAAUAGAUGAGCCUAAGUCGGAUUAGCUAGUUGGUGGGGUAAAGGCCUACCAAGGCGACGAUCUGUAGCGGGUCUGAGAGGAAGACCGGCCACACUGGGACUGAGACACGGCCCAGACUCCUACGGGAGGCAGCAGUGGGGAAUAUUGGACAAUGGGCGGAAGCCUGAUCCAGCCAUGCCGCGUGUGUGAAGAAGGCCUUAUGGUUGUAAAGCACUUUAAGCGAGGAGGAGGCUACUUUAGUUAAUACCUAGAGAUAGUGGACGUUACUCGCAGAAUAAGCACCGGCUAUCUCUGUGCCAGCAGCCGCGGUAA